ACGAACGCUGGCGGCGUGGAUAAGACAUGCAAGUCGAACGAGAGAAUUGCUAGCUUGCUAAUAAUUCUCUAGUGGCGCACGGGUGAGUAACACGUGAGUAACCUGCCCCCGAGAGCGGGAUAGCCCUGGGAAACUGGGAUUAAUACCGCAUAGUAUCGAAAGAUUAAAGCAGCAAUGCGCUUGGGGAUGGGCUCGCGGCCUAUUAGUUAGUUGGUGAGGUAACGGCUCACCAAGGCGAUGACGGGUAGCCGGUCUGAGAGGAUGUCCGGCCACACUGGAACUGAGACACGGUCCAGACACCUACGGGUGGCAGCAGUCGAGAAUCAUUCACAAUGGGGGAAACCCUGAUGGUGCGACGCCGCGUGGGGGAAUGAAGGUCUUCGGAUUGUAAACCCCUGUCAUGUGGGAGCAAAUUAAAAAGAUAGUACCACAAGAGGAAGAGACGGCUAACUCUGUGCCAGCAGCCGCGGUAAUACAGAGGUCUCAAGCGUUGUUCGGAAUCACUGGGCGUAAAGCGUGCGUAGGCUGUUUCGUAAGUCGUGUGUGAAAGGCGCGGGCUCAACCCGCGGACGGCACAUGAUACUGCGAGACUAGAGUAAUGGAGGGGGAACCGGAAUUCUCGGUGUAGCAGUGAAAUGCGUAGAUAUCGAGAGGAACACUCGUGGCGAAGGCGGGUUCCUGGACAUUAACUGACGCUGAGGCACGAAGGCCAGGGGAGCGAAAGGGAUUAGAUACCCCUGUAGUCCUGGCAGUAAACGGUGCACGCUUGGUGUGCGGGGAAUCGACCCCCUGCGUGCCGGAGCUAACGCGUUAAGCGUGCCGCCUGGGGAGUACGGUCGCAAGAUUAAAACUCAAAGAAAUUGACGGGGACCCGCACAAGCGGUGGAGUAUGUGGCUUAAUUCGAUGCAACGCGAAGAACCUUACCUGGGCUUGACAUGUAAUGAACAACAUGUGAAAGCAUGCGACUCUUCGGAGGCGUUACACAGGUGCUGCAUGGCCGUCGUCAGCUCGUGUCGUGAGAUGUUUGGUUAAGUCCAGCAACGAGCGCAACCCCUGUUGCCAGUUACCAGCACGUGAAGGUGGGGACUCUGGCGAGACUGCCCAGAUCAACUGGGAGGAAGGUGGGGACGACGUCAGGUCAGUAUGGCCCUUAUGCCCAGGGCUGCACACGUACUACAAUGCCCAGUACAGAGGGGGCCGAAGCCGCGAGGCGGAGGAAAUCCUAAAAACUGGGCCCAGUUCGGACUGUAGGCUGCAACCCGCCUACACGAAGCCGGAAUCGCUAGUAAUGGCGCAUCAGCUACGGCGCCGUGAAUACGUUCCCGGGUCUUGUACACACCGCCCGUCACAUCAUGGAAGACGGUCGCACCCGAAGUAUCUGAAGCCAACCGCAAGGAGGCAGGGUCCUAAGGUGAGACUGGUAACUGGGAUG
rnacentral:rRNA from 1 species